GUUCAAAAGGGAUAAAUCACUAAGCCAUGCUUUAAGCAAAUAGAAUUAAGUGUUUUAACGUAAUUAAACAGCAUAUAAAUUUAGAAGAAGAAUUAUCAAUAGAAAGCUAAUAGCAUGACAACUGCUAGAAUCCUUGCACUAAUGUGAAUAACUACAAGUUUACAACCCCCUCACUCACUUUGCCAACAAUUUAUAACAAUUAAAGAUUAUGUUAUAUAUAUACACACAGUAAUAUUACUAUAUUUUUGGUCAUUUAAUUGCCCUAAGGCCUCAUUAUGGCUGGUU
rnacentral:misc_RNA from 1 species